UCCGGAAGGGUUUUCGGGAAAAAAAAAGAUGGCGUCGGUAGUAGAAAGCGUGUGGAGUUGGCCAUAAAUUGGGCGAUGCUGACAGAGGUCAUACUAAGAGGAAGUUCUAAACCAAUAGGCCAGUAAUUGGGAGACCCAAGGGUUGUAGUGUUUGACUUGUUUGUGGACAAAUUGUGGUGGCCUUGUUCCACAUACAGUCCAGAUUGCUGCUGCAGAGCUGCAUUUUUCCUAAAAUGCCUAUAACUGAAAUUGCUCAACAAGUGACAGGGAUUGUUAAAACUGGUAAAACAAGCAUGUCAGUAAAUGGAAACCCUCUGUCCUGCUAACGGUCAAAGGAGCGCUGUGGAAUUUCUUUACUCGGUUACAGAAAUUUCAUAAUGUCUUCUUGCUGAAGGUUUGAUCUUCCAGUGCUGGCUACUACAUUGACCAAUAUUUACCAACUACCCACUUAUAUUACCUUCGGUUACAGUUUCCCUUCAAUAGCUGUUCAUAAUACGGUAGUCUUCAACAAGGAGAAACACAAGUCUGCAUUAUUGUAGCCCAGGAUGUGUGCAAAACAACAACAGAGGAAAAUAUUGCCAGUGCGUAACAGACCCUUUCUCAUCUUUACACCACAUUCCAUCUUAAAAGAGAGAAUAGACUUACUGUAACUUUUAACUGUGAAGAACAGUUAAGGCCAACCUAGAGUGCAAUGAAUGAAUGCUAAUAUGAAAAGAACAGUGGAAAGUGCUGUUUUUAAAUAGUGGAUUUUUUCCAAAAAGACAGAAAAAAGUACUAAAGUCAUUGUGCUGCACACAAUGGGCAUGUCUUGCUGAAUUUCUGUAGGGAAAGCAUAUUCUGUCAGCAUACACGUGGCAUGCAUGCAAUUUUUGUUUAGCUCGCCUGUGCAGAAAGUGCUCAUAGUGAGGUAUUGUGAUCACAAUGUGUCCGUAGUCCAUCAACAUUUCUGUUUAAACGACAUCUUCUCCAAAACCACUGAAUGUAUUUUGAUGAAACUUGGCCAUGACGUUCCUUGGGUGGUCCUCUACCAAAGUUGUUCAAAUGGUUCCACUUGGUUGCACAUAG
rnacentral:lncRNA from 1 species